rnacentral:rRNA from 1 species
GAUGAACGCUGGCGGCGUGCCUAAUACAUGCAAGUCGAGCGAACAGACGAGGAGCUUGCUCCUCUGACGUUAGCGGCGGACGGGUGAGUAACACGUGGAUAACCUACCUAUAAGACUGGGAUAACUUCGGGAAACCGGAGCUAAUACCGGAUAAUAUAUUGAACCGCACGGUUCAAUAGUGAAAGACGGUUUUGCUGUCACUUAUAGAUGGAUCCGCGCCGCAUUAGCUAGUUGGUAAGGUAACGGCUUACCAAGGCAACGAUGCGUAGCCGACCUGAGAGGGUGAUCGGCCACACUGUAUCUGAGACACGUUCCAGACUCCUACGGGAGGCAGCAGUAGGGAAUCUUCCGCGAUGGGCGAAAGCCUGACGGAGCAACGCCGCGUGAGUGAUGAAGGUCUUCGGAUGGUAAAACUCUGUUAUUAGGGAAGAACAAAUGUGUAAGUACCUAUGCACGUCUUGACGGUACCUAAUCAGAAAGCCACGGCUAACUACGUG